UAGCGGAGCGUGUGGUUUAAUUUGAUGUAAUAUGAAGAAUUUUACCAGGGCUUGACAUGUUGGAAGUAGUGAAACGAAAGUAGAAUGAAUUGUUAAAUCAGUAAUUUUCACAGGUGCUGCAUGGCUGUCGUCAGCUCGUGCCGUGAGGUGUUGGGUUAAGUCCCAUAACGAGCGCAACCCCUGUUGCCAGUUAAUUUUUCUGGCGAGACUGCCCCGCAAAACGGGGAGGAAGGCGGGGAUGACGUCAAGUCAGUAUGGCCUUUAUGCCCUGGGCCACACACACGCUACAAUGGGUGGUAUAGCAGGUUGCAAUGGAGCGAUCCGGAGCUAAUCCUUAAAACCACUCUCAGUUCGGAUUGUAGGCUGAAAUUUGCCUGCAUGAAGUCGGAGUUGCUAGUAACCGCAUAA
rnacentral:rRNA from 1 species